rnacentral:rRNA from 1 species
UACGAAGGGGGCUAGCGUUGCUCGGAAUUACUGGGCGUAAAGCGCACGUAGGCGGCUCUUUAAGUCGGGGGUGAAAUCCUGGAGCUCAACUCCAGAACUGCCUUCGAUACUGUAGAGCUUGAGUUCGGGAGAGGUGAGUGGAACUGCGAGUGUAGAGGUGAAAUUCGUAGAUAUUCGCAAGAACACCAGUGGCGAAGGCGGCUCACUGGCCCGAUACUGACGCUGAGGUGCGAAAGCGUGGGGAGCAAACAGGG